rnacentral:rRNA from 1 species
UACGUAGGGUGCAAGCGUUUAAUCGGAAUUACUGGGCGUAAAGCGUGCGCAGGCGGUGAUGUAAGACAGAUGUGAAAUCCCCGGGCUCAACCUGGGAACUGCAUUUGUGACUGCAUCGCUGGAGUGCGGCAGAGGGGGAUGGAAUUCCGCGUGUAGCAGUGAAAUGCGUAGAUAUGCGGAGGAACACCGAUGGCGAAGGCAAUCCCCCUGGGCCUGCACUGACGCUGAGGAGCGAAAGCGUGGGGGAGCGAACAGG